ensembl:snoRNA U3 Small nucleolar RNA U3
AAGACUAUACUUUCAGGGAUCAUUUCUAUAGUGCUGUACUUGAGAAAUGUGUGUCUAAAGUGGUAGAUCUCGCUAUCCAUGAUGAUGAUGAUUAAAGAUAUUCCCGUUCAGAGCAUGAAUCUGGUGGUUAGAAGUGACUUUGCUCAUUUUUCUUCCACCUUUGAUGACUGUUCCUUGUUCUUCAAUGAACGUGGAUGAAGGGAAUAUGUUCUGAGUGGA